GAAUAUGUGAUUAACCCAAAAAAAAGGGGAAAAAACCCUCAAAGGGCGAAGAACAAAAAACUGCCCUGUAUCAACUAUUGCGCGCUCCCAAGUCCCAACAAAAACCAAGCGGCGGAGCGAUGGCGGCGUUUCGGUCUGCAUUCGAUGCCGGAGAGAUGAGAACCGAGUUCGAGAAGGCCGGGGUCAAAACCACCUUCAUCCCCUUCAUUUGGAAGCAUUUGCUUCACGAUCCAAACAACCUAUUCAACCAUAAUCUGGCAUCCGAAUUCGAGUGGGAGCAAGCCGUGCCUUCGCUGCCGUCGGCGGCCUACUGCUUGCUCCGGUCAAAGUUCAAGCCUCUUACUUCCACCGUCCAUUCCGUCGUCGAUUCCUCCGAUCAGGUCACCACCAAACUCCUUAUCAAGCUUCAGAGUGGAGCUUUUGUCGAGGCUGUCAUCAUGAGGUAUGAUACUCGUCUGGGAAAAUAUGGCGGAAAACCUCGUCCAGGUGGUCCGCGGUCUACUCUCUGUAUUUCUUCACAGGUUGGCUGCAAAAUGGGAUGCAGAUUCUGUGCAACCGGAACGAUGGGAUAUAAAAGCAAUCUGACUUCAGGGGAGAUAGUGGAGCAGUUGGUCCAUGCCUCCCAUUUGUCCCAAAUACGCAAUAUUGUUUUCAUGGGAAUGGGAGAACCGUUGAAUAACUAUUCUGCUUUAGUGGAAGCUGUCCGUGCCAUGAUAGGCUCACCAUUCUUAUUAUCACCCAAGAGAAUUACUAUCUCAACUGUUGGGAUUAUUCAUGCUAUAAACAAACUGCAUGGUGAUCUACCAGGAUUGAACUUGGCCGUUUCCUUGCAUGCACCUGUGCAAGAUAUUCGUUGUCAGAUAAUGCCUGCAGCUCGGGCUUUUCCUUUACAAAAACUUAUGGAUGCACUUCAAGAGUAUCAAAAAAAGAGUCAGCAAAAAAUAUUAAUCGAGUACAUAAUGCUUGACGGAGUGAAUGAUCAGGAGCAACAUGCCCACCAACUCGGAAAAUUGUUAGAGACAUUCCAAGUGGUUGUGAACUUAAUACCAUUCAAUCCAAUUGGUAGUUCAAGCCAAUUCAGAACCAGUGAUGAUGAGAAAGUUUCGGUAUUCCAGAAAGUUCUUCGUGGUACCUAUAAUAUACGCACAACAGUUCGUAAGCAGAUGGGUCAAGAUAUCAGUGGUGCAUGUGGUCAACUGGUGGUCAGCAUGCCUAAUAGAAGCUCUGGUAAACAAACUAGUGUUCUACCUGAUAUUGAAGAUCUUCACCUCUGAAGUUGACCAGAUACCAUCAGGUCGACAUUUUAUUUACAUGUUCACUAGUUUGUCCUCUUUCUAUGCCGGAGUAUAGUGUGUUGGAGGAGGUUGCCCCUAGCCACUUGUUUCAACUGUUGAUUAAAAAUCGGCAGUUGGUAGACUUGAUCAGUUGGUAGACUCGAUCGGCCUCCUGGAAUGCACAUGACAGAAUCAAUCUCGAGCCAAUGCAGACUGGAAAGUAUAUUGAAGAGAGAAGAGACUAGGGAGGUUGAAAUCGUUCAAUGAGGUGGAAAUGCCAAGAGAACAAAGAAGUUUAAAAUGUGGUUGCAGGAAGACUUGAUUGUGAUUGUUGUAAUUCAGGCUAUGUUUAUCCAUUCAGCGUUGGCAUCAUGUAGGGCUUUUUCAAUCUGAUUUCCUCAGAUAGUUGAGGGGCAUGGUUCAGCCAAAACCAAAGGCAUAGAUUAGAUGAAGUUUUUUUUCCCCCUUUUUUGAAGUUCAAUGCUCUGUACAAUUCUAAUUUAGAAAUAUGUUUUUUAUAUUAUGUGAGGUAUGCUUCUUAACUCAAACUGUGAAAUAAAAACAAGGCACAACUCGAUAGAUUCAAAAUAUUGUAAGAUACUAUUAAUCAUACUUUUUUUGUCAUGAGUAUCUUAA